GUUGAAACAAUAUAUGAGUUAUUUCACAUCAUUCAAACAGAUUUAGGCCAGUUAUUCUAUCGGACCAAAAUGGUCAAGUAUUGGAGGAGUAAAGUUGUCCACAAACAAAUGAUUGAGUUGAACAUGCGAGAAUGUUGAAGCGAUAGAAGCGAUGGUGGAUGGGUGGUCCGGUAAAGGGAGGCAAACCACCAUUUACUACCACAUAAGGCUGAAGGGUAGAGCUCCGUUGUGCCACCUCAUUAAGAGCGCCUCCCCCCUCCUCCUAACUUGAAGAGUAUGGUAUAAAGCCCCUCUUUAACACGACUCUUUUUUUACUUGGUUACUAGCCUAAGACCCCGCGAGUUUCGCGGGUGGCUAAUAAAAAAAUAACUAAUUUAACAUUGUUGACGCAAAUAUAUUAAUUAUAUACGUUGAAAGAUUAACGGGAAUGACAGAGAGUACACUCAAUAAUUGAAAUACAUGAAUACAACAAAAAAUCACAACUCAUUGAAGAUCUCUUUAUAAACAACAUUAGUUGUUUUAUUCGCAGGUUUGCCGUUGUUAAGUAUUAGUAGCUUGACUCGAUCUCGUGUUUUAACUCUUGAUAAAGCUACGUACAACUGACCAUGUGUGAAAACGGAUCGUCUCAAGUACAAACCAACUCUUGAAAGUCUUUUGAUGGCGACCGGCCCAAAUGUAAAGUCUUUUAAAAUUAUAUAGUAGAAAUGCAAAAACAAUUUCGUACAAAACCUUUAAUUAAAAAAUUGAAAUCAUAAUAUAACCCGAUUAUUCCCACCUUCUCCAUACGUGACCCUACCCACCAUGUAUAGAUUUCAAUUCAGUCAUACCCAAGUUGAA
rnacentral:lncRNA from 1 species